GACGAACGCUGGCGGCGUGCUUAACACAUGCAAGUCGAACGAAGUGGCGAACGGGUGAGUAACGCGUAAUCAACCUGCCCUUCAGAGGGGGACAACAGUUGGAAACGACUGCUAAUACCGCAUACUGAAGGCGGGGAUUGCGUCUGAUUAGCUCGUUGGAGGGGUAACGGCCCACCAAGGCGAUGAUCAGUAGCCGGGCUGAGAGGAUGAACGGCCACAUUGGGACGGGGACACGGCCCAGACUCCUACGGGAGGCAGCAGUGGGGAAGCUUCCGCAAUGGACGAAAGUCUGACCGAGCAACGCCGCGUGAGUGAAGAAGGUUUUCGGAUCGUAAAGCUCUGUUGUUAAGGAAGCGGUACUUAACCAGAAAGGGACGGCUAACUACGUGCCAGCAGCCGCGGUAAUAC
rnacentral:rRNA from 1 species